UGGGGAAUAUUGGACAAUGGGCGAAAGCCUGAUCCAGCCAUGCCGCGUGUGUGAAGAAGGCCUUAUGGUUGUAAAGCACUUUAAGCGAGGAGGAGGGUACUGGUAUUAAUACUACCAGGUACUGGACGUUACUCGCAGAAUAAGCACCGGCUAACUCUGUGCCAGCAGCCGCGGUAAUACAGAGGGUGCGAGCGUUAAUCGGAUUUACUGGGCGUAAAGCGUGCGUAGGCGGCUAAUUGAGUCGGAUGUGAAAUCCCCGAGCUUAACUUGGGAAUUGCAUUCGAUACUGGUUAGCUAGAGUGUGGGAGAGGAUGGUAGAAUUCCAGGUGUAGCGGUGAAAUGCGUAGAGAGCUGGAGGAAUACCGAUGGCAAAGUCAGCCAUCUGGCCUAACACUGACGCUGAGGUACGAAAGCAUGGGGAGCAAACAGG
rnacentral:rRNA from 1 species